AAUCUUAAAGAGAAAGCCUUGUGAGCAAAGCUUACUGUGUAACCUCUGCAGGGCUGACGGAGCUGAACGGAAGCAGUUCGCAGCCAGUGAUGGAGCUGCUGAGGAACGCCAUGCUGAACCAGAGUGUGGCUCUCUCUGUGAAAGCAGUCUCGAAGAAUGUCCAUGCAGUGUCAGUUGAAAAAUGUUCUGAAAAUGGAAUGAUCAAUAUAGCUGAGAAUCUGGUGAUGUGUGGCCUGGCAGAAAACCUCUCAUCUAAAAGGGAAAGUGCUUCAACUAAAGAAACACCGCACAGCACCGAUUGCUGCUGCACAGAGUUACAGAAACAGAUUGAGAAACACGAACAGAUUCUCCUCUUCCUCUUAAACAAUCCAACCAACCAAAAUAAAUUUAUAGAGAUGAAAAAGCUGCUGCAAAGCUAAAAACAUCAUCCCUGGGGAAAAACACUCGGGAAGAAGGAGACCACAAAAGCCAGACUAGAGAAAGAAUUGUAUCUUGUGUUUGUUCGCUGGAACUGUUGCUUCCUCUCCUUUCCUUAGUGACCUUUGACCUCACCACCCCUACUUACUUACCUUGUUCUGUUGGGUUUGUUGCCCUCUCCCUGAUUCUUUCCACAAAAUACAUGAAUCUUGCAUAAGAGGUUCAUGUACUAGCUAGGCGUGGUGGUGCACACCUGUAAUCCCAGCCAUGAGCAGAAUGAGGCAAGAAGACCUCAAGUUCAAGGCCAGCAUGGGCUACAUAGAUAGUUUCUCAUUACAAACAAAACCAAACAUCA
rnacentral:lncRNA from 1 species